CAAAGUGAGUUGGAAUAUUUAGAGUUGAUUUUUUCCAACUAGUAAUUUGAUUAUUAGUACUGUUCUAGUUUUUAUGAUGCUGAAGAUGUAAGCAUGUGGGUCCACUGAGGUGGGUAAAAAAAAAUAUUGAUUGAGUACUUAUCAUAUGAAUAUUUUUGUUAAGUGAUUUGCAUUUAUAAAGUCUAAUCAUAAUCAUUAUGACCAUUUUAAUUCUUUAAUAUUAUGCAGUUAACAAAGCACUUAUUUUAAUGACUCCCAUUAGGCAGAGGGAAAAUGUCAAAAAAUACUCAGGGAAACCAGAAACAAAGAAGACACAGGAGAAACAUCCAUGAGUUAUACUCCCUAUUAUUAUGGAUUUAUAAAAGUGUACCCAAGUUCAUUAGACACAUCUUGAUAUUUGACUGCACAUUGUUCCUAGUACUUGCUAAAUUCAUCAUAUUUCUUCAUGGUUAAAAUAUAUAUAUUAAUAAUGAAGACAAAAAGAAAAAGAAAACUGUCUCCAGUUUUUCAAGUCUAAGGAUUAUAACCUUUAUUUAAGAGCAAAUACCAGCUGGGUGAAAAGUCAAGGCCAACCAACAUGCAUGAAGGUCAACUACAUCAUGAUUACCAAAUCUUUAUGAUAUGAGAAGAAAAAGAUAAGACAAAGGAAACAUAGCAUGAAGAGUCUCCAGAACAUCAAAUAUCAAAGCAGCUUAGCAAGGUUUUUAUCUGCUCAAGACUCAACAAUUUGAUGUUAUUGAAAAGCUUCAAGUCCCAAUUCUUUAGGUUGACACAGUCCCCAGGACACGUAGUCAGAAUCCUGAGGGCACAUGAGACUGUCAGAGUGUGGCCGGCUGCAUUGAGGCCCACAGUGUCUUCUUUUCAUUCUCCUGACACCUUUCAGAGCCUUGGAGUUCCUGAGGAUAGGUUGGUCUAUGAGGGUGUGACGUCUAUGAUGGUUGGUUACUACCUGGCUUCCAGCUAGAUAUUCCCACAUUGCUUCCAAAUUGUGGAACGAGAAACCCUGGCUGAAACUUUACAAUCAUGUACGACACAUCAGAAGCAUUUCAUCUGGGCUCAGAAAGCCUAGGUGACAAGGAGUGUGUCCUCACUCAAGAGCAUGGAGGUUUCACUCUUCUGAUCAAAGGGCACCAGUCAAACUGACCCUUUGCAUUUAAAGGAACCCAGGGAAGGUGUCCAUUGUCUAGGAAAGAAAAGAAGACAUUGUUACAAAAUGGGAACUGGACUUCAGAAAUACUUAAUCAAAGUAGUAAAUGGGUGACAAUUUAUUGUACUGCUCAAGACAUUUGAGGGAGUAAGUCAUUAAAAUAACUUGUUCCUAAUAGCUUUCUUCUUGUGUAGUGCUUGCAAAAAAAAGAAAAAGAAAAAAAAAGAAA